GCAUGAGCUAAAGAGGUCAAGGGAACUUAAAUAACCUUGCUUAAAAAAAAGUCAGUGUUGUGCAAUAUUUGGCUUUAUACAGUCUCUGUGGUUAACAUGGCAACAGAGAAUUAUAAUGUACUUCCUUAUUACUCUACAGCAGCCAAGUAAAGGAACACGGCUCUAUGUAUCAAAUACAGUAAUUUGAAGCAUACAAGAUCAAGGCUAACGUUGAGCUGGCUGUCUACAACCUUCUUGAAACAUUUUACAAGUAUUCUGGCAAAGAGGGGGACGCCCUUAAACUGAACCAGAAGGAGCUCACAACCUUACUUCAACAAGAGCUGCCUUCCAUUGUACAGGAUGCUGUUCUGCCCUCCAUAGACACAAACGGGGAUGGAGAAGUUGAUUUUGAAGAGUUUAUAAGCUUCAUAAAUGAAAAUACUACCACCAAGUGGGACAGAUAUGUCCGAGCUUUGUUAACAGGAAAAAGAAAUACUAAACUGGAGGUAAAGACUGCAACAGAAAAAGCCAUGGCUGUACUAAUAAAGACUUUUCAAAAGUAUGCUGGCAGAGAAGGAAACCCACUGUGUCUUGAGAACAGAGAGCUAAGGGAUCUAGUCAGGGUAGAAAUGCCCACAAUAUACAAGUGCUUUCAAAGUAACAGAAAGGGUUCAGUAGACAUUCUGAGGAUGCUGGACACAGAUGGAAACGGGAAAGUGGACUUCAAAGAAUUUAUGUCGUUUCUUGCCAAAUUCGCUGUUGCAGUAGAUAUGUCAGUUGUGCACUCAGUUGAGACCAAAAACAGCUGAAUGCACGUAAAAAAAAACUAAACACAAAAGUUUUGAUCAUGUCUAGAAACAUUCAAUAUUAAUUUAAAUAUAUACAGCAGACAUAAUAUUUAAAACCACUGAUAAUUACUUUUCACACUAGUUGUUAACUAUGUCAGUGUGACAUAACCACAUUAGGUACAAUUAAGUAUUUUAGUUUGGUCUACCAUUGUAUCUUGGAGGUCAAGACUUUUGUUUUUUCUGCUUUGGUUAGAACUCAACUAUUGGUACCCUCAGUGGUUUUAUUUCCAGUAUAUUCCUUGACCUUCACAUAUUGAGUUCUAUUGUAUUCCUUUGGCGAUUACCUAUUCCUUUUGAAUUGUCUUUGUCCUUCUUCAGAAGUUUUGGUGUUCGAUGUUAUACUGUGCAAUUAAUUAUAUAUUCUUCUUCAAAAAAAAAAACUUUAGCAUCUGAUUAUAAAGGAUCAAAGUUUGGUUUUUUUUACCAGCAAAUAUAUUCACUCACACACUGAGUUUUCACCUCAUUUCUCUCGAAGCAAUCUUUAAGAAUGUGUAGAAAAUAAUGGGUGUGUGUGGCACUCUUCCCAGAAAGCACCAGAAGUAACAUAUUAAUUUCAUUGUAACGUUUAUAAAUAAAGAUAACAACAAAUGUUCAAUGCACUUAUUCAAUGCAUAUAUUUUAUUUAGAAUAUAUCCAUUAAAAAAAACAUAAUGUGCAUAUAUUUUUAAAUUAUUUAUUAUCAAUUCCAUUUGCAGACAAUGAGGAGCCUAUUAGUCAAUUUGCAGCUUAAUAAAGGAUAUCA